rnacentral:rRNA from 1 species
GACAGAGGAUGCAAGCGUUAUCCGGAAUGAUUGGGCGUAAAGCGUCUGUAGGUGGCUUUUUAAGUCCGCCGUCAAAUCCCAGGGCUCAACCCUGGACAGGCGGUGGAAACUACCAAGCUGGAGUACGGUAGGGGCAGAGGGAAUUUCCGGUGGAGCGGUGAAAUGCGUAGAGAUCGGGAGGAACACCUGUGGCGAAGGCGGCCCCCUGGCCGGCCCUGACACUGAGAGACGAAAGCUAGGGGAGCGAAUGGG